UACGGAGGAUGCGAGCGUUAUCCGGAUUUAUUGGGUUUAAAGGGUGCGUAGGCGGACUGUCAAGUCAGCGGUGAAAUCCCGGAGCUCAACUCCGGCGAGCCGUUGAAACUGGCGGACUUGAGACAGUGAGAGGUCAGCGGAAUGCGCGGUGUAGCGGUGAAAUGCAUAGAUAUCGCGCAGAACUCCGAUUGCGAAGGCAGCUGACCGGUACUGAUCUGACGCUGAGGCACGAAAGCGUGGGUAUCGAACAG
rnacentral:rRNA from 1 species